rnacentral:rRNA from 1 species
GGGCCCGCACAAGCGGUGGAGUAUGUGGUUUAAUUCGAUGCAACGCGAAGAACCUUACCAGGGUUUGACAUCCUGCGAAUCUCCUGGAAACGGGAGAGUGCCUUCGGGAGCGCAGUGACAGGUGGUGCAUGGCUGUCGUCAGCUCGUGUCGUGAGAUGUUGGGUUAAGUCCCGCAACGAGCGCAACCCACGUCGUUAGUUGCCAGCAUUCAGUUGGGCACUCUAGCGAGACCGCCGGUGAUAAACCGGAGGAAGGUGUGGAUGACGUCAAGUCAUCAUGCCCCUUACAUCCUGGGCUACACACGUACUACAAUGCUACGGACAAAGGGCAGCAAACUCGCGAGAGCUAGCAAA